UACGUAGGGUGCGAGCGUUGUCCGGAAUUAUUGGGCGUAAAGGGCUCGUAGGCGGCCAACUAAGUCGGAUGUGAAAUCCCCAGGCUUAACCUGGGAACUGCAUCCGAUACUGGAUGGCUUGAAUCCGGGAGAGGGAUGCAGAAUUCCAGGUGUAGCGGUGAAAUGCGCAGAUAUCAGGAGGAACACCGGUGGCGAAGGCGGGUCUCUGGGCCGAUACUGACGCUGAGGAGCGAAAGCGUGGGGAGCGAACAGG
rnacentral:rRNA from 1 species